rnacentral:lncRNA from 1 species
AACCCUCCCUCCACCUGAUUUCUCUUUCCUCCCUAUCUCUCCCCCGAUGCCUCCUCUUUCCCGUACUCCCCACGAGAGCCGCCGCCGCCACUGCUGCAUCCCUCUGCGCGACCCCCACCGCUUGCCUCAAGCCAGAUCAGGUCGUGCGCCCCCGCUGCCUCCCUCUGCUCGACCGGCGCGGCAUCCCUCCGGCCAGAUCGGGCCCCCCGCCGCCUCCUUGCCGCCGCUGCUGCCUCCCUCUGCUCGACUGGCGUCGCCGACCGGGCGGAUUCGGCCGCCCUCACCUCGCCCGCGCGGGAUCCGGACGCCCCGGCCGAGCCUCGGAGCGCCGCCCCCUCCGUCCGCCCGCGCCCGGAUCCGCCGCCAGAUCCAUCCUCGGGCGCCCAGCCGUGCGGGCGCGCCGCCUGUGCCCGGAUCCAGUCGGCCCCGUGCGAGGGCGCCCGGCCACCUCCUCCUCUCGUGGUGGCCGCCGCCGCCGUCUCCGUCCGCGGGCGCCCAGCCGUGCGGGCCGCCCAGCCUCGACGCGCCGCCACCUCCCAAGCGGGUCGCUGCCGCGUGCUUCCGGAUCCAGCCGGUCCCGUCCUCCGUGCGGGUGCCCGACGUUGCUUGACUGCGGAUGGAUUUGGUUGCAUACAGAUUUGGUUUAGUUUUUGGUUCCAUACAAUUUUCAUUGAUUGCGGAUGGAUCAUUUUUUGUUUUCUCGUAAAUUUAUUGGUUCCGAAACAGAUCGUGAAUUUUGUUGUAAAUUUGUGCAGAAUUUCAUUCAUUCCAUUUGAAGAUUUGUAGAUUUUUCAUUGAUAUCUCGUCGAAAUUUCAUAGAUAACAUUGAAAUCCAUGGUUUUGUUUGGUAUCAAUGGAAUUUCAAACAAAACUCAUUGAAAUCUCACCGAUGCACCGUUGAAAAUCCAAAUGUGCAAUUAUUUCAAUGGGAUGUCAAUAGAAAUUU